CCUACGGGAGGCAGCAGUGGGGAAUAUUGCACAAUGGGCGCAAGCCUGAUGCAGCCAUGCCGCGUGUGUGAAGAAGGCCUUCGGGUUGUAAAGCACUUUCAGCGGGGAGGAAGGCGGUGAGGUUAAUAACCUCAUCGAUUGACGUUACCCGAAGAAUAAGCACCGGCUAACUCCGUGCCAGCAGCCGCGGUAAUACGGAGGGUGCAAGCGUUAAUCGGAAUUACUGGGCGUAAAGCGCACGCAGGCGGUCUGGCAAGUCGGAUGUGAAAUCCCCGGGCUCAACCUGGGAAGUGCAUUCGAAACUGGCAGGCUAGAGUCUUGUAGAGGGGGGUAGAAUGCCAGGUGUAGCGGUGAAAUGCGUAGAGAUCUGGAGGAAUACCGGUGGCGAAGGCGGCCCCCUGGACAAAGACUGACGCUCAGGUGCGAAAGCGUGGGGAGCAAACAGGAUUAGAUACCCUAGUAGUC
rnacentral:rRNA from 1 species